GAUGAACGCUAGCGGCAGGCUUAACACAUGCAAGUCGAGGGGCAGCACGGGUAGCAAUACCUGGUGGCGACCGGCGCAAGGGUGCGUAACGCGUGAGCAACAUGCCCUAUACAGGGGGAUAAUCCAGGGAAACUUGGUCUAAUAUCCCAUAGUAUUUAGAGGAGGCAUCUUCUAUAAAUUAAAGCUUCGGUGGUAUAGGAUUGGCUCGCGUGACAUUAGCUAGAUGGUGAGGUAACGGCUCACCAUGGCAAUGAUGUCUAGGGGUUCUGAGAGGAAGGCCCCCCACACUGGGACUGAGACACGGCCCAGACUCCUACGGGAGGCAGCAGUGAGGAAUAUUGGACAAUGGAUGGAAAUCUGAUCCAGCCAUGCCGCGUGCGGAAGACAGCCUACUGGUUGGUAACUAGCUUUAUUAUAGGUAGGCAAUAAGGUACGUACGUACGUAGUACUGAUGAGAGGUACACUAUAGAAGUAAGACGAUAC
rnacentral:rRNA from 1 species